CAGCUGCCUGUAGGGGGCAGGGCCUGGCCCUUAUAAAGCCCAGGGCUGAGGCCAGGCUGGCAGUUCUCUGCCAGCAGCCGGAGAGGCAGGAGCUCCCUCGGCCAAGAGAUGGGUAGAAGCCCGAUGGCCAGUACAGCUCAUGAGAGCUCCGAAGGAGAAAGCUGAAGAGUAUUUAUCCUUCUUCUUGUAUGAGAGAAAAGGGUUUCUUGCCCCUUCCUUUGAGGCCUCAUGUAUCAGCUGCUGCCAGCAAAAGGAUACUGGAAUAAAUGGCCACUGGUCAGAUCCAGUACGGUGAGUCCUAUAUUCCUAAAACUACUAAAUCAGCUAUCUAAAUGGAGCCACAAGACACAAACUGAACCAUACGCUCUUCAUUGAAAGUCAGCAGAGAAAUUAUUGAGAUUACUGAGUUUUUGUUUA